GACGAACGCUGGCGGCGUGCCUAACACAUGCAAGUCGAACGGAGAUAUGAUUUCGGUUGUAUCUUAGUGGCGAACGGGUGAGUAACGCGUGAGCAACCUGACUCUUAGAGGGGGAUAACACCCGGAAACGAGUGCUAAUACCGCAUAAGACCACGACAUGGCAUCAUGACGAGGUCAAAGGAGCAAUCCGCUGAGAGAGGGGCUCGCGUCCCAUUAGAUAGAUGGCGGGGUAAUGGCCCACCAUGUCAGCGAUGGGUAGCCGAGCUGAGAGGCUGAUCGGCCACACUGGAACUGAGACACGGUCCAGACUCCUACGGGAGGCAGCAGUGGGGAAUAUUGGGCAAUGGGCGCAAGCCUGACCCAGCAACGCCGCGUGAGGGAAGAAGGCUUUCGGGUUGUAAACCUCUGUCCUUGGUGACGAAAAAAUAGACGGUAGCCAAGGAGGAAGCCCCGGCUAACUACGUG
rnacentral:rRNA from 1 species